rnacentral:rRNA from 1 species
GGAGGAAAGCAGGGGAUCGUAAGACCUUGCGCUUUUGGAGCGGCCGAUGUCUGAUUAGCUUGUUGGUAAGGUAAAAGCUUACCAAGGCUUCGAUCAGUAGCUGGUCUGAGAGGACGGCCAGCCACACUGGGACUGAGACACGGCCCAGACUCCUACGGGAGGCAGCAGUGGGGAAUUUUGGACAAUGGGGGCAACCCUGAUCCAGCCAUGCCGCGUGAGUGAAGAAGGCCUUCGGGUUGUAAAGCUCUUUCAGCCGGAACGAAACGGUUACGGUUAAUACCCGUGACUACUGACGGUACCGGAAGAAGAAGCACCGGCUAACUACGUGCCAGCAGCCGCGGUAAUAUGUAGGGUGCAAGCGUUAAUCGGAAUUACUGGGCGUAAAGCGUGCGCAGGUGGUUUUGUAAGUCAGAUGUGAAAUCCCCGGGCUUAACCUGGGAACUGCGUUUGAAACUACAAGGCUAG